rnacentral:rRNA from 1 species
UGGGGAAUCUUAGACAAUGGGGGAAACCCUGAUCUAGCCAUGCCGCGUGAGCGAUGAAGGCCUUAGGGUUGUAAAGCUCUUUCAGCUGGGAAGAUAAUGACGGUACCAGCAGAAGAAGCCCCGGCUAACUCCGUGCCAGCAGCCGCGGUAAUACGGAGGGGGCUAGCGUUGUUCGGAAUUACUGGGCGUAAAGCGCACGUAGGCGGAUUAGUCAGUCAGAGGUGAAAUCCCAGGGCUCAACCCUGGAACUGCCUUUGAUACUGCUAGUCUUGAGGUCGAGAGAGGUGAGUGGAAUUCCGAGUGUAGAGGUGAAAUUCGUAGAUAUUCGGAGGAACACCAGUGGCGAAGGCGGCCCUGCAA